GGACUACUAGGGUAUCUAAUCCCGUUUGCUCCCCUAGCUUUCGCGCAUCAGCGUCAGAAGAGGUCCAGCAGCUCGCUUUCGCCACCGGCGUUCCUUCCAAUAUCAACGCAUUUCACCGCUCCACUGGAAGUUCCAACUGCCCCUACCUCCCUCCAGCUGACCAGUAUCCAAGGCACUUUUCCGGUUAAGCCGAAAGAUUUCACCCCAGACUUGAUCAACCGCCUACGCGCCCUUUAAGCCCAGUGAUUCCGAACAACGUUCGCACGGUUCGUCUUACCGCGGCUGCUGGCAC
rnacentral:rRNA from 3 species